CUUAGGCUCUUCUGAGUCUCCACCGUCCUCUUCACGGGUGACACUUUUAACGGACAACCUCAGAUUCCGUUAAACGCCGCCUCAGCCAGCCCUCCCAGCCACCGGAGGCGCUGUUCGCCUUCCUCUUUCCUGCACAAAGAGAACGCCGCUCUCGAAUUUGGGGUGUAAGGAAGGGGCGGGUCAAGACGCUGAGGGCCGGGGUGGACCGUGUCCCAAACGCUCGUUCUGGCGUGAGGGGCGGGGGACGAAAGUCCGUAGAGACGCUCGCGGCACUACUUAAAGUAGUACAGGGGCGGGGAGGGCAGCAGGAGGCUGUCUUCUAGUUAGUGCCCCGUGUUGGGACCACGUGGUUGGAGAAGUCCCGCCCUCACCCUCCAGAGUCCGGUGUUCGAAUCUUUUCUCAAGAAGUGGCGGUGUCCCAGUCGCGCCGGCUUGAGGCGCCAGAGGACCCACGGUGGGACUCAUGGCAGCGCCGGUCCGCCUGGGCCGGAAACGCCCGCUGCCGGUGUGCCCCAAUCCGCUUUUCGUGCGCUGGCUGAGCGAGUGGCGGGACGAGGCAGCCAGCAGGGGGCGCCGCACUCAAUUCGUGUUUCAGAAGGCGCUGCGCUCCCUCCGGCGGUACCCACUGCCCCUGCGCAGCGGCAAGGAAGCUAAGAUCCUGCGGCACUUCGGAGACGGGCUCUGCCGGAUGCUGGACGAGCGACUGCAGCAGCACCAAGCGUCAGGCGGUGACCAUGUGGAUCCACCACCUGGAGCAAAGAGUCCAGCCCCAGGAGGGCCACCUGCGGGAGUCCCAGACUCUUCCAUGCCAAUUCCAGCCCAGCGCAAAGCCGGAGGCUCUAGCAGCAGCUGGCCAGCUCGGCACUCAGGAGCGCGAGCAGUACUGUUGCUGCUCUACAGGGAGCACCUGAGUCCUAGUGGCCACAGCUUCCUAACCAAGGAGGAGUUGCUGCAGAGGUGUACACAGAAGGCUCCCAAGGUGGCCCUUGGGAGUGCUCGGCCCUGGCCAGCCCUCCGCUCCCUCCUUCAGAGGAACCUGGUCCACAGGACACACAGACCAGCCAGGUACUCAUUGACCCCGGAGGGUCUGGAGCUGGCCCAGAAGCUGGCCGAGUCAGAGGGUCUGAGUUCACUGACUGUGGGCAUUGGGCCAGAGCAGACCCCUGGGGAGGAGCCGGAAGUGCCAGGAGCAGCCUCGGCUGAGCUAGGCGCCAGCAAAGGGAGUAUUCAGCAGCCUCCACUGGAGCUGGGGCCUGGAGAGUACAGGGUGCUGUUGUGUGUGGACGUUGGCGAGACCAAGGGGGCAGGACACAGGUCAGAGCUGCUCCGCCAGCUGCAGCGGCUGCACGUGACCCACAUGGUGCGUAAGCUGCAUGUUGGGGACUUUGUGUGGGUGGCGCAGGAAACCUGCCCUAGAAAUCCAGCGAGGCCUGGGGAGCUAGUCUUGGACCACAUUGUGGAGCGCAAGCGACUGGAUGACCUGUGCAGCAGCAUCAUUGACGGCCGCUUCCGGGAGCAGAAGUUCCGGCUGAAACGCUGUGGCCUAGGGCACCGAGUGUACCUGGUGGAGGAAUAUGGCUCAGUGCACAAGCUCAGCCUUCCCGAGAGCACGCUGCUACAGGCUGUCACCAAUACUCAGGUCAUCGAUGGAUUCUUUGUGAAGCGCACAGCAGACAUUAAGGAGUCAGCUGCCUAUCUGGCCCUCCUGACGCGGGGCCUGCAGAGAUUCUAUCAGGGCCGUGCCCUCUGCAGUCGCCCCUGGGGAACCCCAGGGGAUGCUGAAUCAGGGUCCAGGCCCUCCCCAGAUCCUGUCUGUUCACUCCUCACCUUCAAUGACUUCAACUCAGGAGCCAUCAAGAACAAGGCCCAGUCAGUGCAGGAGGUGUUUGCCAGGCAGCUGAUGCAGGUGUGUGGAGUGAGUGGGGAGAAAGCAGCAGCCCUGGUGGAUCGGUUCAGCACCCCUGCCAGCAACUCAGAAUGGGCCAGCAGUGUGCCACUGUCAAGCCUUAGAAACUCAAACACCCCAUCCCAUCCCCAGCCUACUGGCCGCCUAUGAUUCCUGUGGCACCCCCAAGGAACAGGAGAUGAUGCUGAGCACCAUCAAGUGUGGGCAGCUACAGAGGAAUCUGGGGCCUGCUUUGAGCAGGACCUUGUCCCAGCUCUACUGCAGCCCCGGCCCCCUGACCUGACCUAUGCCACGAGACAGACCCCAGCCUCAUCUUCCCAGGUUCGCCAGCCUUUUAAUCUGAAUCUCUUGGGCUACAAUAAAAACCUAAGUGUUUGCAA